UACAGAGGGGGCAAGCGUUAUUCGGAAUUAUUGGGCGUAAAGGGCGCGUAGGCGGUUUGUCGCGUCUGCUGUGAAAACCCGAGGCUCAACCUCGGGCCUGCAGUGGGUACGGGCAGACUAGAGUGCGGUAGGGGAGAUUGGAAUUCCUGGUGUAGCGGUGGAAUGCGCAGAUAUCAGGAGGAACACCAAUGGCGAAGGCAGAUCUCUGGGCCGUAACUGACGCUGAGGAGCGAAAGCAUGGGGAGCGAACAGG
rnacentral:rRNA from 1 species